GGCGGAGUCAUAGCAAAGAUGGCGGUGUGUCAGGGACGAUCUUUGGGCCAAACAUCGUUCAGGAUGUUGAAAUGUCACUAACAAGAUGCACUGCCGCCCAGAACACGAAGUGUUAGGCGUUUUUAAUUCCACAGUGUCGUGGCCAGACGGGUGUCAGUCGGCCGUGUGCAGCGCUGAUAUUGAUUGUCGAAGUCGUUAGCGGAGAGCCGUUAGCAGUUAGCUAACCUGCAAGCUAGCAGCUAAAUCAGCAAGUCAAGACUCUUGACACCAAAACAAGCUAAGAGUAAGAGUCCAGGUCAGCUAUGGAGUGGUCUUGGCUUCAGACCGGAUGACAGGGUCACCUCGGAGGACUGGGUUGUAGCACUUCCUGAACAAGAACACUGACUGACAACCACAACGACAGCCCCUCCCCACUUCUCAUCCGCAUCAUCCUCCUCUCUAAGAGAGACGCAGCUCCUCUUGUUGUUUCUUGCAACCUGUAACCUGCCUCCGCCACUGUGUCUGAUAUGAGCUGGCUGAGCAGGUUGAACCCGCGGGCUCCCAGCAGUCGGCCGGGUUGGGGCACCGCCCCGUCGGCCCCCUGCACAGCCGACCCAGAGACAUGUCUGAUGGUGUUCGAGAACCACUGGAGACAGGUGUCACGUGUGCUGGAGCAGACCGAGUCAUCAUCGUCCACUGAUGACUUGAUUGCAGUCAGGAACCACACAGACCAGAUGCUUUGUCUGCUGGCUGAGGAGCGGCCUUGCGAGGUGUCGGAGGGCACCGCCAACAAGCGAGUCGCGGGCCCCAUACUGAACUUGGUGGUCAGCCAGGACAUUUUAGAGUGUGUGGUCAGGUGGCAUUUUCGCCGUGGCCUGGACCCAGACAGCCAGGGGGCACUGCUUAAGCUGUUUGAGAUGCUCAUAGGCCAAUCCAAGCAGCCUUUGCUGCAGCAUGCGGCCAUCUUGCACCCCCUGCUCAGGCUGCUGGGAGCCUGCGCCGACCCAGAACUUGGUUGUCCUGCUGCUUUGGAAAACAGUCUGGUUCUGCUGCUCAAUCAGAUCUGCGUGUCCAUGGCCCGGCAGCCUGUGCUUCUGGAGAUGUUGUUCCAGGUGACACCUAUCCAGCAAGGAUCCACCAACCUGCUGAUCUUCUCGCUCCUCGUGCCCUUCAUCCACCGCGAUGGCGCCAUCGGACAACAGGCCAGAGACGCACUGUUGCUGGUCAUGGCCACUUCAGCCAGCAAUGACAAUGUGGCUCGUUACAUCGCAGAGAACUCCUACUUCUGCCCGGUGCUGGCAACCGGCUUGAGCGCCCUUUACUCGUCGCUUCCCCGAAAGAUUGAGGUGCGAGGGGACGACUGGCAUGCCCUGCGGCGUGAGGACUGGAUGAGUGUCUCCUCCCUCGUUCUCUUUAUGAAUUCGCUGGAGUUCUGCAAUGCCGUGGUGCAGGUCGCUCAUCACCUAGUGCGGUCCCAGCUCCUGGACUACCUACACAACGGCUUCCUGGUUCCUGUCAUGGGCCCUGCCCUGCACAAGUCAUCAGUGGACGAGAUGAUAGCCAGCACCGCCUACUUGGACCUUUUCCUGCGCAGUGUGAGCGAGACGGCCCUCCUCAAAACCUUCCUGCGAUUCAUCCUGCUGCAUCGCCUGGACAACGACUCCAUCCUUGACACAUUGCUCACGCGCAUCAGCAGCAAUUCAAGGCUCUGCAUGGUGUCUCUGAGCCUCUUCAGAACUCUUCUGGCUUUCAACUGCGAAGACAUCAUGCUGCAGCUCGUCCUCAGGUACCUGCUCCCCUGCGGCCAUGUCAUGCUGAGUCAGCGACGUGCUAUCAGGGAGACUGACAUGUAUGGGAAGUGCGCGGACAAGUUCCUGUCACUGAUCCCAGAAUGCUGCCGUCUGAGCACUGCACUCUCUACUGAACGGGAUGAAGACGCUGCAUUUCGAGGCAAAGUGCUCAACAAUGCAGGGCCGGAGUCACCAGCCACACCCAGACCUGUUACGCCAUCGCGCUUGGCUUUCUUCAUCCGUCAACAAAGUAGUGGAGGCGGGUCAGGAGGCGGUCCCCCCACCUCCCCCAGCAGUGAGCCGCCACAGCCUGGUACUCCCAUCUCUUAUGCCCCGGACUGCCCGGUCUACCCCCAGCAGCACGAGAGUCUGGAGUGGGAAUCAGGUUACCUGGACUAUCUGAAAGAUGCCCGAAGAGGCAUUGAACUUUGCUCUUGGGCUUGUCGGGCAUGGUCUGCGCCAUACGAUGGUGAAAACCCUUGCCCGAGCACAGCACCUCCACCCCCGCCCCCUCCCACCUCCAACCCCUCCAUGGCCAUGUUCCCUGAGCACUUCUCUUUCCAGCCAGGAGGAGGCAGCAAUACACCACAGGGCCAGCAGAGGGAAGCCAUGGUGGCUGCGGCCAGGUCCGAGUGGAGCAGCUCAGAGCGGGACAGCGGCGAGUGGGACGUUACCAUUGGUCAAAACAACUGCAUCAGCCUCACGCCGCGUUCCAAGAAGCGCAGUCUACAGCGAGAAGAGCUCCUCCCAAAACCUGUCCCCCCUCUCGUGUCGUCCUCUUCACCUGUCCCUUUAGCCGGUUCUCAACCUGCCCCCACACCAGCCCCUCACAAUCCUACAGCCGCCACCGUAGGUUACCUUGCCAUCUACAAUGGGACGGCGGGGAUGGGGGAAGGGUGUUUGAGCCAUGAGGUGAAGAAGGUGAAGAGAGACUUGGGCGAUGAGCAGGUUUUGGAUGAGAACGCAAAUCAAAAUGGUUCUGUCAUCACAUGCCCCUCCCAGGGCUGCCCUGUUCAGCAGUCCUUAUUUGACAACAGUGACGCCACCUGUGGUGCCAAAUCUGCCUCCACCCCACAUCUGUCAGACACAGAUGACGCCUCCAACCUGCACCGGACACACUCAUCCGAGAGUGGGCCCACAGUGCAGAGUCUCAUCGAGGAACUUCUCGAACAGUCUCCCGAAGAGACGCACGCUCUUGGGGGAUCUAACGGUGAAGGCAUCAACAUCGAGGCUUUCUCACAGGAGCUGAGAGAGAUGGAGCACUGUGUGACCGUUUGCAGUGCCGCAGCCUGCCAGCAGGGGGAGACCAACCCCACGUCCCUUAGUGAUGAGCAACAAGAGGAAGAGCUGGAAGCAAAAAUGGCAGCUGAUGAAACCGGUGCUGCUGUAACUGCCCUCUGCAGUCCAGCCAGACCACUCAAUGGGGCGUCAUGUCAGCCAUACACGGGGCCGUUCAUGGUGGUUCUGCUCACCAAGCUGGAGAACAUGCUCCAGAACUCCCUGUAUGUCAACAUCCUGCUGACAGGCAUGGUGGCCCAGCUGGCAUGCUACCCGCAACCACUCCUACGCUCCUUCCUGCUCAACACCAACAUGGUUUUCCAGCCCAGUGUCAAGUCUCUCAUCCAGGUUUUGGGUUCUGUGAAGAAUCGCAUCGAGGCCUUUGCUGCCUCCCAUGAGGACUUCCCUUCCAUGUUGAGGAAAGCCCAACUGUACCUGGUGGCCCGUGGGAAAGUGGACUGGAGCGAGCCCCCUGGUGCCGUUCCUGUCCUGCGGCGCUCCGAUUCACUUGUUAAGAGUCGAAAAUCAUCUCUUAGUGACCUAAUCCUUCGGCACACCAAUAGCCCCACCCGAACUCGAAGUGCUGCCCAGAUGGCGCUGGCGCACGUACGGGUUGGGGGCCAAACGCUGCACAGUGCUCUGUUCCGUGGUAGCGGCGGUGGAGGAGGAGGCGGCGGCGGAGCCUCCAAUCUGGAGAAGCAAGCUGAGGCGCUGCGUGUGAAGAACGCAGUCUACUGCGCUGUCGUCUUCUGCGAGUUCCUCAAGGAGCUGGCCGCUCUUGCUCAAGAGCAUGCCGUUGCACUCCCCUUUGUUGGUACAGAUGCUGAGGAAUAAGCACUGCCUACUCGCCAUCUUUCCACAUCGGCCACUGGAUUGUCAACAGAGUCAUUAACCAUGGCCACGCUCUCAUACCAAAAGGGAUGUCUAAAAGACAUUGUGCAUAUCAUGUGUUAUAUUAUUUACACUAUCAGUCAAACUUCUGUGUUUGUCUGCCUACAAAGUAAUAGCGCACUCAGUUGGUGCUAGUAAAGGUCUUUUCAAAGGAAAUUGGAUUUAACUGUAAUGUGUCCGAAACAUAUCUUUAACCUUUUUUUUUAAAGAUUUCCUGUGUUCCAUAGAUCUGUAAGUCUUUUAGCUCUGACAUUGCAUUCACUGUCAUUUUCUGCCCAGUUUACAAUGCUCUGCAUUGCCAGUUACGACCAGUUAGAGGUUGGAUCAUCGUCUUGGGUUUGUCUGGUGCCAUAGCUUCCUUGUUCUAGCAGUUCGGUGCUGACUACUAGCAACUCACUUUAAAAACUUGCCCACAGCGAACCCGAUGAUGACCCUCCUGCUGAGAGAAAAAGUCUACACAGCUAGUUCAGGUUCGGGGGGGGGGAAUAAAAGGGAAAAGAGAGACUUUAUAUCUUAGAACACAAUGUUUGUUACGGGCAUUUUAACCUCCCAAGAUGAUGUCUUCCUGGAGUCACACCAUUUCAUAUUAGUGAAUCAGGGAGAUCCACAUGCCACAUUUAUUAAUAUUAGAACUGUACGUGGUAGGAAAGAUUCUAUGGACCGAUUUUAGUUCCUCUGGCAGCCACUUUAUGGUGUUAGUACCGUAAAGCUGUGACAUAAAGGGAUAGUUCAGAUUUUUUUACAUGAUUUUUUGUAUGACAUGCACAUCAGCGAUGACUUACACCCCACUGUGUCCUUUGUAUGGAUUUCGAUACGAACAUAGUUCCGGUUAGAUGGUGGGGCUCAGGGCGAUUGAGGUCUGAUUAAUUUUUUUAAUCUUGUGAUGCAAAUGUAUUUGUCUUUUCAACGCAUAUUGUUUUGGGAUACCAAACUCUUUUCUUAAGUGGACCCACCAACCAAUCAGAACUAUGUUUGUCAUCCCCAAAAUCCGACCAGAACUCAAGAACAAAAUGGGGGAUAAGUCACCGUUGAUGCACUACACUGCUGAUGGGAAUGUCAUACAAGAAAUUGGACCUAUCCCUUUAAAGCAGGGAUGUCCAAAGUGUGACCUGGGGGCAGUCAGCAGCACUUAGCUUGUUUGGUAAUUGGCCCACGGCACAUUCUAGCAAGAAACCUAAAAAAGAAGGACAUGUAGGGCAUACUCAAUCGUCACCUAUACUAGUACAAAGCAUGCAGGCUUUUUUUUUCCUGAAAACAUAUACUCACAAAACAUUAGCAGUAUUUAGCUUCCGGGUGAAAUACACUGUAACCUUUUACAGGUGAACUUUUAAAUGCAUCUCCAUUGGUUCAAUGUUUCAGUACUUUUUGCACAACUGUAAUUCUAAUUCAACCAGUGCAUUUAUUUACAGAUCGGAAGUUUUGCAAAAAGUACUGAAACUUUGAACAGUUGGAUGUGUAUUUAAACAUUUAUAUUCUCAAAUGAAGAUCACCUCUAAAUGUUCUGGUUUAUUUUAAAAUCAUCCUGAAUUUUCACCUGUAAGCCAGAUCCCUAACUUUUAUUGAGCAGUGUAUAACAUCUUUGCAUGUCUCCAGAUUUGUUUUUGGGUUUUUUUGCCCCCAGUUACUUUAAUUUUUCUUUGUGCGGCCCUCGGUGGAAAAAGUUUUGACACCUGAUUUCAAGGGAAAAAAAUACAGUGAUGCCAAACAAACAUGUCUCACUACUUAUUUGCCAAGUAUAGAUAUUAUUUGCUGAGCUAUUGUUUUUUCUUGUAAAACUGUUAUUGUACCAUGUUUGAGUUUUCACAACACAAGACGUGCACAUUUUUUUGUUGUUUUUGUUUACCUGUGAAACUCGAACUAUGCAAAACCUGCCGGCAUUGCCCCCUACUGGAGGUGAAGCACAAAAACUGAUGUAAAAUGUAAAUACUGUUUAAAAAAAAAAAGAGUGUAGUGGCUACACAGUGCAGAUGUAUGUAGAAGGCAACGGCAUCAGGACUCAAAACAUUCUGACGGAAUGUUACGGAUAUUUUUCUAUAAUCACAUUGUGUGUGUGUUGGCGGGGCUGGGGAAAUGCAGGAAAAAAAACUGUCACAAGAACACUAAAGGGAAUGUUUUUAUUAAUUUAUAAAGUCACUGUCAGCAGCACAGCCUUUGUUCUGGUGUCUCUUGUGUGUGACUGUAAAGUGAGACUGUCAGCUGCAGGUUCAAAAUGCAAGACUUGACUUCUUUUUUUAAGAUCUGCUUAGGUUGUAAACCCAGUCAGGAGAACAUGGAGGAAAGUACUGGAGUCAGCUUACCAGUCUCCUAGCAACAGGCGAUGGCAAGAGGAGGAAAGGGAAACUGACCAAGAUGUUUCCUCACACGAGCCCAAGAGAGGCCAUGAUCUAGCUCUGGUGGGAGUGAAGGAGGAAGGAGAGACUUCUUGGUUCCUACUAAGGGAAGGCCAUUCAAUCCACCAGUUUGGGAAGCAAGGGUCAGGUCGGGCAGACCUCACCCUACCGAGUGGUAUCUACUGCACACCACAUGGGCAGCUCUUCAUCGUGGAUUGUGGGAAUGCUCGUAUUCAGGUCACAGACCCUCGGGGGAAUGUCCUCCAGCAAAUCACAUCCCCCAACUCUGAGGGCUUGGCCAGGCGAUGCAGAAACUUCUUUGACAUAGCGGUGAAUGGCAAGGGCCUGAUCGUACUGAGCUGUGCGGCGGAACGAUCUCUACUGGUGUUCAGCCGGCAUGGUCGACUCCUCCAGACCUUCGGGGGGUCAGGUGUGGGCUCUGCAAAAGAGGAACUCGAAGCUCCCAGGGGCGUGACGGUGACACAGUUGGACGAGUUCUUGGUGGCUGAUAUCCGUAAAGGUACCCUCAUCGCUUUAAAGCUGGACCAUAAGACUGGUUCUCGUUUAGAGCGGACCAUCGUGACCGGAUUCCAUCGGCCUUACUGGGUGGCAGCUUGCGUGAGCUCAGGGAUGGUCGCUGUGUCUGAGCGAGGCACGGAAACAGGCUUUGUGCCCUGCAUCAAAGUCCUGGAGCCAGGUUGGAGCACAGUACGAGUUCUGGGUGUGUGCUCGGCCAUGGGACCUGUCCUUCGCUGCCCCUGGGGAGUCUGUAUCGACUCUAUGGGCAACGUCUUGGUGGCAGACUGGGGGGAAACCCACAGGGUCUUGGUGUACCCAGCAUACGGUACGGGGUGGACGUUAGUGACCCAGGGCUUAAGUAGUCCACGUGGGUUGACCCUGCUGCCAGGGGGCCAUCUUGCUGUGUGUGACAGCAUGAACCACUGUGUGAAGGUCUACCAAUACAUAACAAACCAACACUAAAAAAAUAUCUAUAUAUUAUCUUAUUAUAAAUAAGAAUCAAGGCAUCUGCUAUGACUGAUUAAUGCAAUUUAACCAAUGAAAUAUACGUACAUUUGAUACAUUUACAUUUAAUCCCACCAGUUUUGUUUGUUAUUGAUUUAAUUUGACCGAAAUAACAUUUUAUUUUAGACCGGUGUGUUUCUUAGCUUCUGUGCAUAUAAAGCAGUAAGCUUACAUCAGGGUGUACAUAAGGUCCACAUAAAGAAGGAUUAAAAAGGAUGGGGCGAUGCUCAAACCAAUACAAUGUCUUUCAAUAUAUGAAAGUUGGACUUUAUUGAAAGUCCAAUAAACAUUCAUAUAUUAUAAAUGUAUUAGGGAUUGGUCACUCU